CUCCUACGGGAGGCAGCAGUGGGGAAUUUUCCGCAAUGGGCGAAAGCCUGACGGAGCAACGCCGCGUGAGGGACGAAGGCCUUUGGGCUGUAAACCUCUUUUCUCAAGGAAGAAGACAUGACGGUACUUGAGGAAUAAGCCACGGCUAAUUCCGUGCCAGCAGCCGCGGUAAU
rnacentral:rRNA from 1 species